CCGGCGCACGGGUGAGUAACACGUAUGGAACCUGCCCUAUGCAGGGGGAUAAGCGGAGGAAAUUCCGUCUAAUACCGCAUAACACCUUUAGGAGACAUCUUCUUGGGGUCAAAGGAGGCGACUCCGGCAUAGGAUGGCCAUGCGUCGCAUUAGCUAGUCGGCGGGGUAACGGCCCACCGAGGCGACGAUGCGUAGGGGUUCUGAGAGGAAGGUCCCCCACACUGGUACUGAGACACGGACCAGACUCCUACGGAAGGCAGCAG
rnacentral:rRNA from 1 species